UCUGAGAUUUCCUGCUCCCCACCCCCGACCUCCUUCUGCCCUGCUCCCUGUCCCCUCUGCUCCUUCCCAGCACCUCGGCCCUCACAGGUCCUGCCACCUGGGCACCUUUCCUCCAGCCCCUUCCCUUCAUUCAGGCCUCAGCAAAUGUCAGCGCCUGCAGGAGGCCUCCCCAGAUUGCUCUCACAAAAGGAGCUGCCUCACUGGCACCCUUCACCUCAUGAAACAAUUCUAAUUUCUUUCCAGCACUGGCCAGAGGACCAGGCUGAGCAGUCGGUUCACCAGGCACUGCCUUUCCCCUCACAUCUGCGUAUGGAGCAGGGCACUCCCCACCAUGACUCCAGCGAUUCCUCUAAAAGGGAUAUCCCUCAGUGUCUGUCAUCUGUCUGCCACUGCCAAGUUCCGGAAGGAAGGCGCACACAGGCGGGGCAUGUGCCACAGGGUUGGGGCAGAGGCUUGGCCACUGUCUGUCCUGAGAAGCCUGUGAGACUCCUACCAUUCUACCUAGAGCAACGGCCAGAGAGGAUGCUGAGCACGGUGGACAAGUGGCAGGGAAGGGAGGACUCAAGUACAGUCACAGAGGCGCCCGACUGCACGACGGAGCAGGCCUGGCCUUGCCCCCGUGGGACGGACAGUGACAGGCUCUGAGACCUCCCUAAGCCAGCGCCCGGGCAGCCUUGACCGUGUGUCAGGACGGCCACAGCCUCCGUCAGUCCCACUCUGAUGCACAGAGGCCCUUGCGCUGGUUCCAGCCUCCUCCCGACUAGUCAUCGGGGCUGCAGGAUUGAUGGCAAAAAACAAAACCCAGGCCACCAGAGAUGAGAAGAACAUUCCCCGGCCCCACCACAGAGGAGCAGCGCGCCUCGCACCACACGCGAUCAACCAGAAAGGCAGAGGAACAGACUUGUUUCUAGAAUUUCUAUAAACUUAAUUACACAAGAUAAAAUUGAGGACAUCUGCAAAUCAAAAGACAUUCAAAAACAAAGUCAAAGGGCAAGAACAACUUGGAGAAAGCCACCAACAGACCAGACGGAACAUUUUCAAGUCCAAAAAGCGUGACAUCCCAGCUGAAAAACAGCAGAAAACACAGUCACUUCCCAGAACGAAAAACGCAGGCGCUAACAGAACAACUGCCCAGGUUGGCAGUGAUCAGAGGGGGCAAACCUCAGGAACAGCGAAGGGUACUCCGUUUUUCCCCCUCAAGUUGGAGUUGGAAGUGUUGGCGAGGGAUGGCACUGUUUUGGCUGCUGUGACCCAGCAUCUUCGUGUAUCUCUCUUGAAGAACAUACGAGGGCAUUUCUGCUGAAUGCACACAUGGGGUGGGACUGCUGAGCCUGACAGAGGGGAGCAGCCGGGAUCCAGGCACACCUGCCCACAGCUUGGCUGACAGCAUGGCUUGCCCCAGGCCCUCGAGAGCACUACUGUCUUUAACUGAAUCCUUCCUGGCCAAGGGCAGAUAUGCUCCCAGGACGUCCACUCCACUCCUGUGUGGCCGGUGCCCCCUUCCAGCCCCACACCGCCCAGGAGGCUCCUUCUCCA
rnacentral:lncRNA from 1 species